rnacentral:rRNA from 1 species
CGCACAAGCGGCGGAGCAUGUGGCUUAAUUCGACGCAACGCGAAGAACCUUACCAAGGCUUGACAUACGCCGGAAAACCAUGGAGACAUGGUCCCUCUUUGAGUCGGUGUACAGGUGGUGCAUGGCUGUCGUCAGCUCGUGUCGUGAGAUGUUGGGUUAAGUCCCGCAACGAGCGCAACCCUUAUCCUGUGUUGCCAGCAACUCUCUUCGGAGGGGUUGGGGACUCACGGGAGACUGCCGGGGUCAACUCGGAGGAAGGUGGGGACGACGUCAAGUCAUCAUGCCCCUUAUGUCUUGGGCUGCACACGUGCUACAAUGGCUGGUACAAUGAGCUGCGAUGCCGUGAGGUGGAGCGAAUCUCAAAAAGCCAGUCUCAGUUCGGAUUGGGGUCUGCAACUCGACCCCAUGAAGUCGGAGUCGGUAGUAAUCGCAGAUCAGC